AUGUACAAUAAUGUUGUGACAAGUGUUCGAACAAGUGAUGUCGACACCGAUGACUUCCCGAUUAAGAUAGGACUGUAUCAGGGGUCAGCUUUGAGCCCUUAUCUUUUUGCAUUGGUGAUGGAUGAGGUCACAAGGGGUAUACAAGGAGAUAUCCCAUGGUGUAUGCUCUUUGCGGAUGAUGUGGUGCUAGUUGACGAUAGUCGGACGGGGGUAAAUAGGAAGUUAGAGUUAUGGAGACAAACCUUGGAAUCGAAAGGGUUUAGGCUUAGUAGAACUAAAAUCGAGUACAUGAUGUGCGGUUUCAGUACUACUAGCUGUGAGGAGGAGGAGGUUAGCCUUGAUGGCCAGGUGGUACCUCGGAAGGACACCUUUCGGUAUUUGGGGUCAAUGUUGCAGGAGGAUGGGGGUAUUGAUGAAGAUGUGAACCAUCGAAUCAAAGCCGGAUGGAUGAAGUGGCGCCAAGCUUCUGGCAUUCUCUGUGACAAGAGAGUGCCACAAAAGUUAAAAGGCAAGUUCUACAGGACGGCGGUUCGACCCGCAAUGUUGUAUGGCGCGGAGUGUUGGCCGACUAAAAGGCGACAUGUUCAACAGUUAGGUGUGGCGGAGAUGCGUAUGUUGAGAUGGAUGUGUGGCCACACGAGGAAGGAUUGA
rnacentral:rRNA from 1 species